rnacentral:rRNA from 1 species
GUGCCAGCAGCCGCGGUAAUACGGGGGGGGCAAGCGUUGUUCGGAAUUACUGGGCGUAAAGGGCUCGUAGGCGGCCAACUAAGUCAUGCGUGAAAUCCCUCGGCUUAACCGGGGAACUGCGUCUGAUACUGGAUGGCUUGAGUUCGGGAGAGGGAUGCGGAAUUCCAGGUGUAGCGGUGAAAUGCGUAGAUAUCUGGAGGAACACCGGUGGCGAAGGCGGCAUCCUGGACCGAUACUGACGCUGAGGAGCGAAAGCCAGGGGAGCAAACGGGAUUAGAUACCCGUGUAGUCC